GUGCUCCUUUAUUACUGCUACCAUGACCUGGAGGAUCCCCAAUGGAUCUGUGCCUGGCAGACAGCUCUGUGUCAGCACCUGCACCUCACAGGCAAGAUUCGAAUUGCUGCAGAAGGAAUCAAUGGGACAGUUGGUGGAAGCAAAUUGGCUACCAGACUUUAUGUGGAAGUCAUGCUUUCCUUCCCAUUGUUUAAGGAUGACCUGUGUAAAGAUGAUUUUAAGGUUACGAGACAGUACAAUAGAAGGAGUAUGCUCGUCCCCAUUCUUUCACUGAGUCACCAUAUGAUUUUGGACCAGCUAGUGCUCUAGACCUCAGUAUCCCUUCUUAUAAAAUAAGAAUGUUACAGCUCAUGCAAUCUGGGACUCCAAAUCUUGGACAUAUUAGCUCACUUGAGAGACCACCAGCCUGGUCAGCAGAUCACUGUGUUUUUAGUAAAUCUGGAAUUGUAAGAUUAACACUUCAUACCACAUGGGGGAAUAAAGUUGUUGCUCUCACAGGU
rnacentral:lncRNA from 10 species